rnacentral:rRNA from 1 species
GACGAACGCUGGCGGCGUGCUUAACACAUGCAAGUCGAACGGCAAGGCCCUGCUUUUGUGGGGUGCUCGAGUGGCGAACGGGUGAGUAACACGUGAGUAACCUGCCCUUGACUUUGGGAUAACUUCAGGAAACUGGGGCUAAUACAGGAUAGGAGCUCCUGCUGCAUGGUGGGGGUUGGAAAGUUUCGGCGGUUGGGGAUGGACUCGCGGCUUAUCAGCUUGUUGGUGGGGUAGUGGCUUACCAAGGCUUUGACGGGUAGCCGGCCUGAGAGGGUGACCGGCCACAUUGGUACUGAGAGACGGCCCAGACUCCUACGUGAGGCAGCAGUGGGGAAUAUUGCACAAUGGGCGGAAGCCUGAUGCAGCAACGCCGCGUUCGUGAUGACGGCCUUCGGGUUGUAAACCGCUUUCGCCUGUGACGAAGCGUGAGUGACGGUAAUGGGUAAAGAAGCACCGGCUAACUACGUG